rnacentral:rRNA from 1 species
UCAGUAGCUGGUCCGAGAGGAUGAUCAGCCACACUGGGACUGAGACACGGCCCAAACUCCUACGGGAGGCAGCAGUGGGGAAUUUUCCGCAAUGGGCGAAAGCCUGACGCAGCCAUGCCGCGUGAAUGAUGAAGGUCUUAGGAUUGUAAAAUUCUUUCACCGGGGACGAUAAUGACGGUACCCGGAGAAGAAGCCCCGGCUAACUUCGUGCCAGCAGCCGCGGUAAUACGAAGGGGGCUAGCGUUGCUCGGAAUUACUGGGCGUAAAGGGAGCGUAGGCGGACAUUUAAGUCAGGGGUGAAAUCCCGGGGCUCAACCUCGGAAUUGCCUUUGAUACUGGGUGUCUUGAGUAUGAGAGAGGUGUGUGGAACUCCGAGUGUAGAGGUGAAAUUCGUAGAUAUUCGGAAGAACACCAGUGGCGAAGGC